AGCAGCCGCGGUAAUUCCAGCUCCAAUAGCGUAUAUUAAAGUUGUUGCAGUUAAAAAGCUCGUAGUUGAAUUUCGGGAUUAGUACGUUGGUCGUGCCUUAGGUACGUACUGGUGUUACUGGUUCCUACCUUCUGACGAACCAUCAUGUCAUUAAUUUGGUGUGGCGGGGAAUCAGGACUGUUACUUUGAAAAAAUUAGAGUGUUUAAAGCAGGCUCGCGCUUGAAUACAUUAGCAUGGAAUAAUGAAAUAGGACGUUGAUCCUAUUUUGUUGGUUUCUAGGAUUGACGUAAUGAUUAAUAGGAAUAGUUGGGGGCAUUAGUAUUCAAUUGUCAGAGGUGAAAUUCUUGGAUUUAUUGAAGACUAACUACUGCGAAAGCAUUUGCCAAGGAUGUUUUCAUUAAUCAAGAACGAAAGUUAGGGGAUCGAAGACGAUCAGAUACCGUCGUAGUCUUAACCAUAAACUAUGCCGACUAGGGAUCGGAUGAUGUUAAUUUUUUAAUGACUCA
rnacentral:rRNA from 1 species